UAGGGAAUCUUCCACAAUGGGCGCAAGCCUGAUGGAGCAACACCGCGUGAGUGAAGAAGGGUUUCGGCUCGUAAAGCUCUGUUGUUAAAGAAGAACACGUAUGAGAGUAACUGUUCAUACGUUGACGGUAUUUAACCAGAAAGUCACGGCUAACUACGUGCCAGCAGCCGCGGUAAUACGUAGGUGGCAAGCGUUAUCCGGAUUUAUUGGGCGUAAAGAGAGUGCAGGCGGUUUUCUAAGUCUGAUGUGAAAGCCUUCGGCUUAACCGGAGAAGUGCAUCGGAAACUGGAUAACUUGAGUGCAGAAGAGGGUAGUGGAACUCCAUGUGUAGCGGUGGAAUGCGUAGAUAUAUGGAGGAACACCGGUGGCGAAAGCGGCUCUCUGGUCUGUAACUGACGCUGAGGCUCGAAAGCGUGGGGAGCGAACAGGAUUAGAUACCCUGGUAGUCCACGCCGUAACGAUGAGUGCUAGGUGUUGGAUCCUUUCCGGGAUUCAGUGCCGCAGCUAACGCAUUAAGCACUCCGCCUGGGGAGUACGACCGCAAGGUU
rnacentral:rRNA from 1 species